GUUGAUUUUAGACGUCGUCGAUCGAAUCAAGCUCUUCGGAACGCACACGGAUCUCCGGAAUCACGAUCAGAUAGUCACAAACCACCGAGGGAACCGAAUCGAGGUCAGUUGAACCGCUGGUUCGAAGCAAACGCCGGAAUUGGUCCAAAGUUGGAUCGGUCUUGAUUCACCGGUGGAGAUCGGCUGCUGGAGGAGAUCCGGCAGCCAAUCCGCCUAUCCCUAACUACGGCGAGGUCAGGGACCUCCGGAGCUACUGAUCGCCAGCGGUUGGAGGCUCCUGAGAGCACUGGCGGCCUUCGGUUUAGGCUGGAACAGAAUCGGUCCUACUUGGACCGGUUUUGGACUCUCCGAAGAGAUCGGGCCACCGAAGGUAUUCCGGUGGCUGAUCUAUUAGUUCCCAACCACAGCAAGGUCGGGAACAAACUCAGGGAUAGAUCGGCGGGGUCUGCUUCGCCGAUCUCAGUUGCCAAAGCGGCAGUCGAGCUGGUAAACUUGAAAACCGACUUGAUCGUCGGUUCAUUGAACUGACUAGAACAAAUCGGUUUAAGCCCAUCAAUCAGCCGCCGGAGAUGGCGGUUUUCACCAAGGGACGAAGGAGGAGAAUGAGAGGGACCGCCGGGGGCUAGGCGGCGUUCGGUGGGCCGCCGGCGUGAGGCCAACGAGCUAGAACCGACGUGCGACCAAUUUGGUUGGCAAGAAAAGGGAGGAAGGAGGAAAUGGUGGGAAACAACAAAGAGAUGAGAGAGAAACUUGAAGAGA
rnacentral:lncRNA from 1 species